CAUCCGAUCCAAGAGGGACAAUGUCGGAAAGAUAUCAAACAGAAUGGCACGGUGUGUGAAAGCGCUUGUCGCACAAGGCGCUCGAACGCCUUUUCAUUUCACAGUAACGCUAUUAAAACUGUAUUCCUCCGGCUUCUGCUAAGUGGCGAAAGCCUAGUUAACUUACUGGAACUUACUGGAACUUACCUUUCCGUCUCCGCUGCCACCGCCGCCGCUCCCCGGGCCGCCUUCAACACCCGAGACCGCCGCCGGACCUCCAGAGGGCCGCGGAGCUCGGAGAGGAGAAGCCGAGAAGGGUCCAGCUACUACCAGGGAGACGAAGAGCCAACUGCACCGAGGCCCCGGGCCUUGUGUGUCCUCGAAGUAGCGUUAGGGGAGGGAUACCGAGUCUCAGCCUUCCGCCGUUUGACAGGGACUCGGGAAUACCUUUUUGACAGCUCCUCUUCUUCAGCCCCCCCCUCCCCUCGACAGCCCUUCACUUUUCUCUUUUUCCUCACUUCCAGCAGAUACGAAUCAAAAUACUGUCACAGAAUAUGGCGGCUGCAUAAGCAAGCUACUAUCGCGAGAAGAAGAGUUGUUUUUCUUUUUUCAGCUUCCCAAAAGUUGUGCUGAGGGAGGGAGGAGAAAGUUGUGAUUGCAAAAUGAGCAGAGUAGCCUGCUGCUGCAGAAGAUGCAAACAAAGGGGAAAAACAAGACUCAGUUGAUGUUUUCAGAACCAGGUCAAGGUUAUUAUACUUAAAGUCCUCCUCCAGUCAAAAGUAUGUUUUUCUUCUUAUUCCUACAGUGUUUGAGCUUCACUGUGCAGAAUGAUGUAUGUGCAGAGCUGGACACUAGAAGGAUGUUUUCACAUUAAAGCAUAGAAAACAUUAAAGUCAAAAAAAUCCUAACAUUUAUGUACAAUGUAUAUAUGUACAAUAUUCCUAUUCUUUAACAACGAAAGCAUUGUUAACAGUUUUGUGCAGAAAUGUCCAAAAAUGCUGCCCAGGGUUUUUUAAGGUGACUGGAAUGAAAACUAUGCAGGAAAAGUUAGAUAAUUAAACAAUACUAGUCUGACUGUUGGGAUAGUGCCUACAAUGUCAAUGAUAUACGAUAUUGAUCUAGUUUACAAGUUGAAGAUCAGAGGUCAGUUACAGAGCACCCACCCUGAAGAUAGUAGUAGGCAUUCAUUGUGUUGCUGAAGGACACCUCGGCAGGGGAGUGACCCUCCAGCCGAAGGACCAAUCCAGUGGAAUGACCUUUAAGCAGGAAUUCUUACUGCUGGAGUCGGCAAAUGCUAGAUUUUUCAACAUUUUUAGUCUCAGUGUUAUGGAUUCAAAGCAAAUUCUGGAGCUACUGAGAGACAACUCUCUUUCUGCUGGAACUGGCAAGGAAAAUGGUCUGUUUGCUGUCUGUCUGGUUCACAGUGAACAGACCAGCCAGGUUGGUAGCCAUGUCUAAUUGGCCAAAAUCACAAAGUAGGGCUGGCAGAUAGCAGUUUCUUCUUAUCAUUCACUGACACCUUGUAGAUUCGCUAUUUUUGGCCAAACAGAAUUUUGGUGUGGGGUAUUAACACUUCUCCACCCAAAGAAAACAACACAUUUCAUACUGGAGUGUGAAACACAAACUGUCUAGUUUACAGCAGCGUGUUAGUGCUCUGUCCAGAGAGAGAAACUAUCAUAGAGUUUCUGCCUUUGUUGUCCUUUAGUGUGAAAUGCUCUCAGAGGAGAUUGGUAUAGGGUUAGUAGAGCAUGUUGCAUGUAGUCUUUAAAGUUCAGUCUGUUGUCUUCUCUGACUCAAAAUGAACACAUCUCUUUUGCUCAGCAGAUACUGUGGAUCUUGUUGGUGCUAACUGCAAGUGAUCAGAACAUCUGUGAGCGCCUUCAUAGGGAUUGAAAUGACUCAUUCAUCUACAGAAGGCUAGGAUGGAAAGACUUGCAAUUUAUAUUUAAUGCCGUUAUAUUGACAUCAUGAGUUGAUUUAUCUUGUUAUCUUAAGAAAACAAAAGGCAGAUUUCUCGAGAUGAAGAGAUCAUUUUAAAAAAAAAUUUGUUUUCCUGAGAUCACAGGAUGAUUAUAGAGAACUUCAAAAUGAGCGUCUGGUUCAUCAGCCUUCAGGAUUACUGUUGCAACUGUUGGGGGGAUUCAUAACUAAACUGAAAAAGUUGUUACCAGAGUGUAGCUAUAUCUGAGAGUUCAUUUAAGGUAUUCAAUUCCUGGCAAUGUGAUGCAAUACUGACAAACAAUAUGCAUAUUAUAUGUAAUAUAUUAAAGAUGGAGAUUUAUUAAAUGAGCUCAAAGAUC